rnacentral:lncRNA from 1 species
ACAGUUUGCAGGUAGACCGCCGCAGCAGGGGUUUCCUAUGCCUCCUCAGUUUGCUCAGAGACCGAUGGGAAUGCCGCCGCCGAUGAUGAGAGGACCACCUGGUCCACCGCGUCCAGGGAUGCCUCCUCCUGGUAACAUGUUUGGACCUCCAAGGCCUGGGAUGCCGCCUCCACCCAAUCCUCAGCAGCAGCAAAAUCAACAGCAAUGAUG